AAGUCGUAACAAGGUUUCCGUAGGUGAACCUGCGGAAGGAUCAUUAAUGGGCUACCGCCUUCGGGCACACCCCCACCCUUUGUAACCGCGGCCCGGAUUCGGCGCCUGGCGGGGACCACCCCCGCUCGCGGGGGGCCCCGCCUGCCGGAAUUAGCCAGCCCUGCCUAGAAAAUUGAAGUCUGAGAACAGUAAAAUUAAACAAAA
rnacentral:misc_RNA from 1 species